GCCCGUGUAGUUCAGUGGCAGAAUAUUUCCCUCCUAAGGAAGAGGUCUUGGGUUCGAUCCCCAACUCGGGUA